AUUUAUAUAGUAUAAAAUAUUAUUAUUGAUUUCCAAUCAAAAGAUCUAAAUAAUUUUAGUAUAAAUA
rnacentral:tRNA from 1 species